rnacentral:rRNA from 1 species
GACAGAGGAUGCAAGCGUUCUCCGGAAUGAUUGGGCGUAAAGCGUCUGUAGGUGGCUUUUUAAGUCUGCCGUCAAAUCCCAGGGCUUAACCCUGGACAGGCGGUGGAAACUACCAAGCUGGAGUACGGUAGGGGCAGAGGGAAUUUCCGGUGGAGCGGUGAAAUGCGUAGAGAUCGGAAAGAACACCAACGGCGAAGGCACUCUGCUGGGCCGACACUGACACUGAGAGACGAAAGCUAGGGGAGCAAAUGGG